ANNNNNUNNANUUGCCAACGUCUUAGCGAUUGAAGCCCUUCGGGGUGAGAUUAGUGGCGAACGGGUGAGUAACACGUGGGCAAUCUGCCCUGCACUCUGGGACAAGCCCUGGAAACGGGGUCUAAUACCGGAUAUGACCGUCCAUCGCAUGGUGGAUGGUGUAAAGCUCCGGCGGUGCAGGAUGAGCCCGCGGCCUAUCAGCUAGUUGGUGAGGUAGUGGCUCACCAAGGCGACGACGGGUAGCCGGCCUGAGAGGGCGACCGGCCACACUGGGACUGAGACACGGCCCAGACUCCUACGGGAGGCAGCAGUGGGGAAUAUUGCACAAUGGGCGAAAGCCUGAUGCAGCGACGCCGCGUGAGGGAUGACGGCCUUCGGGUUGUAAACCUCUUUCAGCAGGGAAGAAGCGAAAGUGACGGUACCUGCAGAAGAAGCGCCGGCUAACUACGUGCCAGCAGCCGCGGUAAUACGUAGGGCGCAAGCGUUGUCCGGAAUUAUUGGGCGUAAAGAGCUCGUAGGCGGCUUGUCACGUCGGUUGUGAAAGCCCGGGGCUUAACCCCGGGUCUGCAGUCGAUACGGGCAGGCUAGAGUUCGGUAGGGGAGAUCGGAAUUCCUGGUGUAGCGGUGAAAUGCGCAGAUAUCAGGAGGAACACCGGUGGCGAAGGCGGAUCUCUGGGCCGAUACUGACGCUGAGGAGCGAAAGCGUGGGGAGCGAACAGGAUUAGAUACCCUGGUAGUCCACGCCGUAAACGGUGGGCACUAGGUGUGGGCAACAUUCCACGUUGUCCGUGCCGCAGCUAACGCAUUAAGUGCCCCGCCUGGGGAGUACGGCCGCAAGGCUAAAACUCAAAGGAAUUGACGGGGGGCCCGCACAAGCGGCGGAGCAUGGUGGCUUAAUUCGACGCAACGCGAGACCUUACUCAGGCUUGACAUACACGGAAAGCAUCAGA
rnacentral:rRNA from 1 species